rnacentral:rRNA from 1 species
UACGAAGGGGGCUAGCGUUGCUCGGAAUCACUGGGCGUAAAGCGUACGUAGGCGGAUUGCUAAGUCAGGGGUGAAAUCCUGGAGCUCAACUCCAGAACUGCCUUUGAUACUGGCGAUCUCGAGUCCGGGAGAGGUGAGUGGAACUGCGAGUGUAGAGGUGAAAUUCGUAGAUAUUCGCAAGAACACCAGUGGCGAAGGCGGCUCACUGGCCCGGUACUGACGCUGAGGUGCGAAAGCGUGGGGAGCAAACGGG